CUUCGGUGGUGGAUUAGUGGCGAACGGGUGAGUAACACGUGGGCAAUCUGCCCUUCACUCUGGGACAAGCCCUGGAAACGGGGUCUAAUACCGGAUAAUACUCCGGCCCGCAUGGGAGGGGGUUGAAAGCUCCGGCGGUGAAGGAUGAGCCCGCGGCCUAUCAGCUUGUUGGUGGGGUAAUGGCCUACCAAGGCGACGACGGGUAGCCGGCCUGAGAGGGCGACCGGCCACACUGGGACUGAGACACGGCCCAGACUCCUACGGGAGGCAGCAGUGGGGAAUAUUGCACAAUGGGCGAAAGCCUGAUGCAGCGACGCCGCGUGAGGGAUGACGGCCUUCGGGUUGUAAACCUCUUUCAGCAGGGAAGAAGCGCAAGUGACGGUACCUGCAGAAGAAGCGCCGGCUAACUACGUGCCAGCAGCCGCGGUAAUACGUAGGGCGCAAGCGUUGUCCGGAAUUAUUGGGCGUAAAGAGCUCGUAGGCGGCUUGUCACGUCGGAUGUGAAAGCCCGGGGCUUAACCCCGGGUCUGCAUUCGAUACGGGCUAGCUAGAGUGUGGUAGGGGAGAUCGGAAUUCCUGGUGUAGCGGUGAAAUGCGCAGAUAUCAGGAGGAACACCGGUGGCGAAGGCGGAUCUCUGGGCCAUUACUGACGCUGAGGAGCGAAAGCGUGGGGAGCGAACAGGAUUAGAUA
rnacentral:rRNA from 1 species